rnacentral:rRNA from 1 species
AUGUACAUGCAGAAAACUAGACAGCGUCCAUUACCCAAGUAUCCAAUGCUGAAAACUAGGGAAGAAUACAACAGGUACACAUAUUACACCGGUAAGCCUGGACUUGCAAAACAAGAGAGGUUCAUAAAAAUACAGCACAUGCACACACCAACAGUUCAGUCUACUUGCAGUCGACAACAUAAAACAUCACACGACGCAAACCAACAGAGACCCCCGCCACCUGAGAGCACGGCGCUAAAGCCUGCCGGCAAAGCCAGAUUACGGUAUGCGCAUGCUCGUGAAGCGGAUGCUGGAUACAGAGUUGCUUUGCUCAGGCACAGUGUGCAGCUCAUCUGUCGCCGCUGCUGCCUCCCCGGGGACACCUGCAGCAUCAUCUGGGUAGCGCACAACCACAACCGGGCAGACACAGUGAUGCACACAGUAAUCACUAACACUCCCGAGCCUCCCCUUGCCGCCCUUGCGCGAGGCCCCGAAUCCGCGGCUCCCCAUGAUCAUGGCGGACAGGCCAAGGCGCUCGGCCUCGAGGCAGAGGCGCUCCUUCAUGUCGUGGUCCUUGACGACGUGGAUCUUAAAGGGGAUCUGCGCGGCGACGAGCGGCUGCGCCAGGUCCUGCGACUUGGUGGAGGUGAAGGCGUCGAAGUCCUCCUCCCGCUUCUUCUGCAGCUCCUCCGCGGAGGCGGCGGCGGGGUCGGAGCCCUCGGCGGCGGCGGCGACGGCGGCAUCGUCCGCGUCGUCGUCGGAGACGGAGACGGGGAUGGAUCCCCAGUCGGCGCCGUAGAGGACGGAGGUGGGGCGGACGUGGAGGAGCACGACGGCGUCGCCGGGGCGCAGGUAGUUCUGCACGGCCCACCGCACGGCGAAGGCGGACUCGUCGGAGAGGUCGACGGCGAUGGCGAUGCGGCGGUGGGAGGAGGAGUUGGCCGCCAUGGGGAGCUAGCUGGCUAG